rnacentral:other from 1 species
GCUAAGAAUUAUAACCAAAAAUACAAUUUUAAAAGCAAUUCACAAU